UCUUCGGCAAUGGACGCAAGUCUGACCGAGCAACGCCGCGUGAGUGAAGAAGGUUUUCGGAUCGUAAAACUCUGUUGUAAGAGAAGAACGUUGAUGAGAGUGGAAAGUUCAUCAAGUGACGGUAUCUUACCAGAAAGCACCGGCUAACUCCGUGCCAGCAGCCGCGGUAAUACGGAGGGUGCGAGCGUUAAUCGGAAUUACUGGGCGUAAAGCGUGCGUAGGCGGUUCGUUAAGUCAGAUGUGAAAGCCCUGGGCUCAACCUGGGAACUGCAUUUGAAACUGGCGGACUAGAGUUUAGUAGAGGGGAGUGGAAUCUCAGGUGUAGCGGUGAAAUGCGUAGAUAUCUGAAGGAACACCAGUGGCGAAGGCGACUCCCUGGACUAGAACUGACGCUGAGUACGAAAA
rnacentral:rRNA from 1 species